rnacentral:rRNA from 1 species
CAUCAGGUAGUUGGCGGGGUAACGGCCCACCAAGACCGCGAUGACUAGGGGAUCUGAGAGGAUGACCCCCCACACUGGUACUGAGACACGGACCAGACUCCUACGGGAGGCAGCAGUAAGGGAAUAUUGGUCAAUGGGCGAGAGCCUGAACCAGCCAUGCCGCGUGCAGGAAGACGGCCCUCUGGGUUGUAAACUGCUUUUAUUCGGGAAUAAACCUACUUACGUGUAAGUAGCUGAAUGUACCGAAGGAAUAAGGAUCGGCUAACUCCGUGCCAGCAGCCGCGGUAAUACGGAGGAUCCAAGCGUUAUCCGGAUUUAUUGGGUUUAAAGGGUGCGUAGGCGGCCUGUUAAGUCAGGGGUGAAAGACGGUAGCUCAACUAUCGCAGUGCCCUUGAUACUGAUGGGCUUGAAUGGACUAGAGGUAGGCGGAAUGUGACAAGUAGCGGUGAAAUGCAUAGAUAUGUCACAGAACACCGAUUGCGAAGGCAGCUUACUAUGGUCUUAUUGACGCUGAGGCACGAAAGCGUGGGGAUCAAACAGGAUUAGAUACCCUGGUAGUCCACGCCCUAAACGAUGAACACUCGCUGUUGGCGAUACACGAGUCAGCGGCUAAGCGAAAGCGUUAAGUGUUCCACCUGGGGAGUACGCCCGCAAAGGGUGAA